UACAGAGGUCUCAAGCGUUGUUCGGAUUCAUUGGGCGUAAAGGGUGCGUAGGCGGCGCGGUAAGUCGGGUGUGAAGUUUCGAGGCUUAACUCCGAAACUGCAUUCGAUACUGCGGUGCUUGAGGACUGGAGAGGAGACUGGAAUUCAUGGUGUAGCAGUGAAAUGCGUAGAGAUCAUGAGGAAGACCAGUGGCGAAGGCGGGUCUCUGGACAGUUCCUGACACUGAGGCACGAAGGCCAGGGGAGCAAACGGG
rnacentral:rRNA from 1 species